rnacentral:lncRNA from 1 species
CACCCACCGGCCCACCCUGCCUGUAGCACAUCAUGUGAUGCGGGAUUGAAGUGGAUCUAGGGACGAAUGGAUGACUGAAUAUUCAUAUGAAGAGGAAAGCCAUAAAAGCCUUAUCUUCAGAAAAGAGAAGAGUAGCAGAGAUUUUCUUCCUUUUUCUGUUCCACACGAAGGUCAUCUGCUGCAUCUUGUGCUGUGUCUUGCUCCCUUCCUUCCCUGUUUGGUGCCAGCAUGAGUGAUGAGCUGCUGGGCGCAGGCGCGCUCUGACAGAUGUGCACCCAGAGCAGCGUAGCCACUGCGCUUGAGCACCACUGAUUCAGCCCGGAGACAGCUCAGGUCACCUGUGGGUAGGGUGCAGUAGAUUUGGGACUGGUGCUGAUGGCUGAAAAAUUGCUGGAGGCAUUUCCAAAACUGAUUUUUUCCAAGUAGAAAAAGUCAUUUAACAUGCCUGCAAUGAACCCUUUCAGCUUCACACACUUUUGUUAUAUUUGAACUGAUUCAUUUUCCUUUUGC